rnacentral:lncRNA from 1 species
CUUGAGUUUUUCCCAUAUUCAAACCAUGAAGAGGUUCGAAAAAUGAGCCCCCAGUUAGAGAAGGAGAGAAAAGAGGAGAUAUUUUAACAAAAUAGAAAGGGAUGAAUGUAUGUAAAGUAUAGCAGCUAAUUGUGAAUGGCAAUUUAAGUAUCCAACAGAAGAAAAAGAAGGGUAUCCACUUCCAUCCAUAUGAAGCACGAGGACGAUGACGACCGCAUCUUGUUUCUUUCUUUUUUUUGUCUUGUCGUCUUUAUUGUUUGUGAUUGAGUACGUGUUCAAUAAUUCAUUACAUAUAUAAUUUUUGAUUUAUUUGAAG